rnacentral:lncRNA from 1 species
GGAUGAGUGAGGAGAGUUUUGUUCUUAAAACUGAGCAUUUCUAAGAGCCACUUAAAGUGGAGCACACAUUGGAUUUUUUUCCCUGUUGUCACAGGCUACCUUGUCCUGAAGGCUGUUCCAUUUUGAAGAAUGGAGUUCAGUAAUUGCCCCCUGACAGACCUCCCUGUCAACUCUUCAGGAUAUCGGUGCUGGAUUGUUUGCUGGGAAAACACCUAAAGUCAACACAGGGAGAGAAACAGCAUAUGCCAUGUAGAAUUUGAAGAUGCUACUGGAUACAGCAAGAUCAGAAGCAAAAGUCAGCUAUUCACAAAACUCAGCACAUUACCAUUAUCACAGGGGAUUGCGGUUAAGGAGUAGCACUGAAACCCUUCUGGCUGAACAGCUCGGGGGCCUGGCCAUGUCCCUGGCACCUGGAUGGAGCUGCUCUGAUCCCCGGGGACAGCCCUGACCCUAUGCUGGCGGAUGAGCUGCUGAGCCCUGGUGUGUUCUGGUGGGUCGCAGUUUUCCAGGAGGGAGCACAGCCAGGCACAGCACUGCUAAUUGCAGGGACGGGUCUGUCAUCAGGACACAGUCCGAUGAGCUGCUGCAGUCAAGUAAAUCUGUGUAUCGCCUCGCAGCGGAGGGGCGUUGCAGAUGCAUAGGAUUUAAGAGCUCUCACCUCC